GACGAACGCUGGCGGCGUGCUUAACACAUGCAAGUCGAACGGUAAGGCCCUUCGGGGUACACGAGUGGCGAACGGGUGAGUAACACGUGGGUGAUCUGCCCUGCACUUUGGGAUAAGCCUGGGAAACUGGGUCUAAUACCGGAUAGGAUCAUGCGCUUCACGGAGUGUGGUGGAAAGCUUUUGCGGUGUGGGAUGGGCCCGCGGCCUAUCAGCUUGUUGGUGGGGUAAUGGCCUACCAAGGCGACGACGGGUAGCCGGCCUGAGAGGGUGACCGGCCACACUGGGACUGAGAUACGGCCCAGACUCCUACGGGAGGCAGCAGUGGGGAAUAUUGCACAAUGGGCGCAAGCCUGAUGCAGCGACGCCGCGUGAGGGAUGACGGCCUUCGGGUUGUAAACCUCUUUCAGUAGGGACGAAGCGCAAGUGACGGUACCUACAGAAGAAGGACCGGCCAACUACGUGCCAGCCGCCGCCGUAA
rnacentral:rRNA from 1 species